rnacentral:rRNA from 1 species
AUUGAACGCUGGCGGCAGGCCUAACACAUGCAAGUCGAACGAGUGGCGGACGGGUGAGUCAUGUCUGGGAAACUGCCUGAUGGAGGGGGAUAACUACUGGAAACGGUAGCUAAUACCGCAUACCAUCAGAUGUGGACAUAUGGGAGUAGCGUGUUGGUGGGGUAACGGCUCACCAAGGCGACGAUCCCUAGCUGGGCUGAGAGGAUGACCAGCCAACCUGGAACGGAGACACGGUCCAGACUCCUACGCGGGGCAGCAGUGGGGAAUAUUGCACAAUGGGCGCAAGCCUGAUGCAGCCAUGCCGCGUGUAUGAAGAAGGCCUUCGGGUUGUAAAGUACUUUCAGCGUGGAGGCGUUACCCGCAGAAGAAGCACCGGCUAACUCCGUGCCAGCCGCCGCGGUAAUAC